rnacentral:rRNA from 1 species
UACGUAGGGGGCAAGCGUUGUCCGGAAUCAUUGGGCGUAAAGAGCGUGUAGGCGGCCCGAUAAGUCCGCUGUGAAAGUCCAGGGCUCAACCCUGGGAUGCCGGUGGAUACUGUCGGGCUCGAGUCCGGAAGAGGAGAAUGGAAUUCCCGGUGUAGCGGUGAAAUGCGCAGAUAUCGGGAAGAACACCCGUGGCGAAGGCGGUUCUCUGGGACGGUUCUGACGCUGAGACGCGAAAGCGUGGGGAGCGAACAGG